rnacentral:rRNA from 1 species
UACGUAGGGCGCAAGCGUUAUCCGGAAUUAUUGGGCGUAAAGAGCUCGUAGGCGGUUCGUCGCGUCUGCCGUGAAAGUCCGGGGCUCAACUCCGGAUCUGCGGUGGGUACGGGCAGACUAGAGUGAUGUAGGGGAGACUGGAAUUCCUGGUGUAGCGGUGAAAUGCGCAGAUAUCAGGAGGAACACCGAUGGCGAAGGCAGGUCUCUGGGCAUUAACUGACGCUGAGGAGCGAAAAGCAUGGGGGAGCGAACAGGA